AGCAAACGCUGGCGGCAGGCCUAACACAUGCAAGUCGAACGAACUCUUCGGAGUUAGUGGCGGACGGGUGCGUAACACGUGGGAACGUGCCUUUUGGGUCGGAAUAACUUAGGGAAACUUGUGCUACUACCGAAUGUGCCCUUCGGGGGAAAGAUUUAUCGCCAUUAGAGCGGCCCGCGUCUGAUUAGCUAGUUGGUGAGGUAACGGCUCACCAAGGCGACGAUCAGUAGCUGGUCUGAGAGGAUGACCAGCCACACUGGGACUGAGACACGGCCCAGACUCCUACGGGAGGCAGCAGUGGGGAAUCUUGCGCAAUGGGCGAAAGCCUGACGCAGCCAUGCCGCGUGAAUGAUGAAGGUCUUAGGAUUGUAAAAUUCUUUCACCGGGGACGAUAAUGACGGUACCCGGAGAAGAAGCCCCGGCUAACUUCGUG
rnacentral:rRNA from 1 species